GUUACAACCAAACCAUCUAAAAACAACUGGCUUUGACUUCUCCCUUCAACGAGUUGCAAAAUCCCCAAACUGAACUGUUCUGAAUUUUUGGGACAAUACAAGACGAAAAUUUUAUGUUAUGAUAAGGUUCUAGAAAUUUCAUUUUGAAAAUCCCCAACUUUGGGACGGUUAUGGAGAUUUUCAAAUCCCUGGAUUGGACCAAGCCGUGCUCAACCCUAGCUAUUAUGAUAUGGUGUGGUUGCUUUGGCUUAACUAUGAAUUAGAAUUCGAGGUCUAUUGGUCUUUCAUUUCCAUGGCUCUUCUAAUGAAAAAAUUUAGCUAGAAGAAAUUCAUUCUAGUGUUCGCUCCUUAUUUUUCAUUUUUUCUGUUUUUAUUCUCUUCUUUAUUUUUUGGUGGCUAUUAAUUGCAUAUUUUUAAAAUUGUAGUAAUAAAACAUAUAUGAUGUAAUGAAAAGAAAUUUGUCAUUGUUCUAUUGAAUUUACAUUUGAUUACUUUCCAUUGCUUUCAAUUAUAUCCUACCAAAUAUGCACUGAAAUCCUGUACUAGGUAAAGUACAGGAUUUAAUUAAUCGCAUUAAAUAUCUUACCAAGGGCUCCCCUGUUGAGAUGUGGGAUAUCACAGUUUUUCCUCAACUAUUAUUAUGAACUCACACUUAUCUAAUAUAAUGAAG
rnacentral:misc_RNA from 1 species